rnacentral:rRNA from 1 species
UAAGGAAUAUUGGUCAAUGGACGCAAGUCUGAACCAGCCAUGCCGCGUGAAGGAUGAAGGUCCUCUGGAUUGUAAACUUCUUUUAUCUGGGACGAAAACGGGAUUUUUAUCUCAAUUGACGGUACCAGAGGAAUAAGCACCGGCUAACUCCGUGCCAGCAGCCGCGGUAAUACGGAGGGUGCGAGCGUUAUCCGGAUUUACUGGGUUUAAAGGGUGCGUAGGUGGGCUUAUAAGUCAGUGGUGAAAUCUCCGAGCUUAACUUGGAAACUGCCGUUGAUACUAUAGGUCUUGAAUUAUCUGGAGGUAAGCGGAAUGUGUCAUGUAGCGGUGAAAUGCUUAGAUAUGACACAGAACACCGAUUGCGAAGGCAGCUCGCUAAGCUGUAACUGACGCUGAGGCACGAAAGCGUGGGGAGCAAACA